UUUCAAAAGAAUAUGCCAUAUUUUAAAGAAUCCAAUAUUUGGAACCCUUAUUGUAUUAUAUUCAAUAAUAUUUAUUUAGGUUUUCUGGAGUGAGAGCGUCGAUUCAACUCAUGUUCUUCAUUCGUUAUGUGGGCCCGAGGAAAUCGUCCAGCAUUCUCUUCCCUCUUCCAUCGAUCUGCCUUCCUUCCUCUUUUAUACAUUACAUCACAUCACGACCACGCCGACGGCCACCACUGGAAUAUCUCGCUCUCGUUCGUUCUUGAUCGUGCUCAGUUGCCCUCUCUUCGCCAGAGAUGGUGAAGGAACCUCUUCAGACUGAUUGGAAGGAGAUGCUCCCCGGAAGAGACGACGGCGGAGGUCGAGGUCAUGGCCGCAGCGCCUGGCGGGAGGGACGCCGCGCCGGCGGAGGCGUCGGAACUCGCGCAUCUUUCCGAUCACGUGCUGCGGGACAAGAUCUAAAGGGUGCUGAAUCAUCUCUCGUCGGAUAUUCGGAGCCGGCUGGUCGAUAGCGGCGCCAAGUUGAGGGCCAGCCUCCGCCAGAUGCAGACGAGCUCGAUCGGAGGAAGUUGUCCCAUGUUCCCGAGGUACCUGCAAAGGCCCUCAUCUGUGGCUGAAUGACCAAGAGGAGACUAUCAUUUUUUCAAUACCUACUUUUACAAGAAACUUAAGGAAGCUGUUUCACUCGAAGGAUCAUUUUUUUAAAAACAUGUUGAGAUGAUGAUUUUUGUAGUCUGGUUUUGCUAAAUUAACUAGCUGUUUUAAGUAUGGCAAGCCUUUUCAAAGACCUCUUGUGAACAUCUACAAGAAGACUUUAAAUAAUGAUCCAUUGUUUUUCGAA